rnacentral:rRNA from 1 species
CCUACGGGUGGCAGCAGUGGGGAAUAUUGGGCAAUGGCCGCAAGCCUGACCCAGCAAAGCCGCGUGAGGGAAGAAGGCUUUCGGGUUGUAAACUUCUUUUCUGAGGGACGAAAAAAGUGACGGUACCUCAGGAAUAAGCCACGCCUAACUACGUGCCAGCAGCCGCGGUAAUACGUAGGUGGCAAGCGUUAUCCGGAUUUAUUGGGUGUACAGGGCGUGUAGGCGGGAAAGCAAGUCAGAUGUGAAAACUCAGGGCUCAACCCUGAGCCCGCAGUUGAAACUGUUUUUCUUGAGUGCUGGAGAGGCAAUCGGAAUGCGGGGUGUAGCGGUGAAACGCGUAGAUAUACGGAGGAACACCAGUGGCGAAGGCGGAUUGCUGGACAGUAACUGACGCUGAGGCGCGAAAGCGUGGGGAGCAAACAGGAUUAGAUACCCCAGUAGUC